AGCAGGGUGGCCUGUUCCAGCAGGGACACUGCCAGCCCAGCCAGGGGCAUGGCUAGGGGCAGAGAGGGGACCUUCCUCCUCCAGCACCCAGCUGGUGACAGCUCUCAAACAGCGUGAGGACACCUCGGGCCCAGCUCUGCGCAGCCACGUCAACUCCUGUCAUUCCCAGCACAUUCCAGGGAAUGCUGCUGGCUCUGGUUCUCCUUAAUUGUGAUGGCUCAAAUCCCCUAAAAACUCACAGUUCCUGCUGGAAACAACUGAUGAGCUGCUCAGACUGUUAAUCCCUGUGGAGAAGUGUGAAGGUCUUUUUCAGGACAAAGUGGCAGGAAAAAGGCACAAACAAGCUGGGUGCAGGCACAGAAACAAACAUUCGCCAUCUGGGCGGCAUCAAAGCGACGGCCAGGAGGAGGAUCCCACACAUCCUCGGCUUCUCCUCCCCGAGCCUGUGCUGGAAGAGGAGUGGCAGAUUUUCCACAGAGUGACAGAUUUCUUCCCAUCUGCAUGAGGACCCCGUGUGCUUUUUCACUGGGAUCAGGGCUGCUGAUCUGCAAACCUGGCCCCAAAGGGCAAACCCCAGAUGACACCAGGGACCCAGGGCUGAACUGAUGCAGUGACAAACCAACACUGAAGAUUUAAUAAACGGGACCGUGAUGGGAUCGAAGCAAUCCCACGCAGACCUGGUGUCCUGGGAGAGAUGAGGACAUGGCAGCUGAGCCAUCCAGCGGUGGCAGCCGCCCUUUGUGCCCGCGCAGCUUUGGCUUUGGCUUUGGGGACCCCGCCACGCCGUGACCCGGAGCGAGUCCCAGCUCGUGUGCUCCCAGCAGAGACAGGGAUUUACACGCACAGAAUGACGGGAUGUUUAUGAUGCCAUAAGAAUCUAGGGGAAACACUAUGGAUUGGAGAAAGGUCAUCUGAGGUGAGUCCCACACAGCGCUGGCGAUGCCAUCUGGGCAGGGUGGAGGUGCCAACGAGCCCGUUUGCCUUCCCAAAUUCAGAAUAAUUCCAGAGUGGCUCCGCAGCCCUGCAGAAAGGCUCCGCUCCUGCAGGAGCUGGGAAGAGCUGGAGAGGGGAAUUUUCUGCUUUCUGCCGCUCCGUGCUGCUUCCCGGAGCUCUGCCCAGCACAUCUGAGCAGCAGGAGGGCACCAACACGGCUCUUCCCGCUGGGAACGAACCUUUUUUUGUACCUUUUUACCCCCAUUUUACACUUCAAACCUCGAGUUUUAACUCACCCACUGGGAGUCAGGCAGAGACUCUUCACCCCUUGCUUGAACAAGGCUCCCUCCCUGGGAAUGUGCCCCGUGGAAGGAAACAGGGAGGAAUUGCAAGGUUUUAAUAAAAGCAGUUAAUUUUCGCCGGGCUGGGACGUGGGAGAAUUCCCUUCUUUGAAAUGCUCAGCACAGGUACCAACCCUCCCGUUCCCAUGAGGUUCAUGGACUGAGGUCAGCCACAGCCAGACUUGCAGGAAUUUUGUGUGGGCAUGCAGACACUUGUUUUCCCAUUAAAAAAAAUUAAAAAAAUAGGAGGAAAAUACAAGUCUCAAAUUGAAGGUGCUGUGAGUUUCUGUGCAAAGACAUCUUUGAUUCCUGAUGUGUUUAGGAUAUUAUUAUUUAUUCCAGAGCAAGAUCUCAGCUGUUAAAGUCCUUACUCAUAUGAUUUUUGGUAUUUGUAUUCCCAAAGUAGUGAGAAUUCUAUAUAUGAGAGAGAAUCCCAACAUCAUGGGAAUAAAUGGAGUAUCCCAAAGAUGGGAGAAAUGGGAA